CCUACGGGAGGCAGCAGUGGGGAAUUUUGGACAAUGGGCGAAAGCCUGAUCCAGCCAUUCCGCGUGAGUGAAGAAGGCCUUCGGGUUGUAAAGCUCUUUCGCAAGGGAAGAAAACUUAGAUACUAAUAUUAUCUGAGGUUGACGGUACCUUGAUAAGAAGCACCGGCUAACUACGUGCCAGCAGCCGCGGUAAUACGUAGGGUGCGAGCGUUAAUCGGAAUUACUGGGCGUAAAGCGUGCGCAGGCGGUUUUGUAAGUCAGAUGUGAAAUCCCCGAGCUCAACUUGGGAACUGCGUUUGAAACUACAAGACUAGAAUAUGUCAGAGGGGGGUAGAAUUCCACGUGUAGCAGUGAAAUGCGUAGAGAUGUGGAGGAAUACCAAUGGCGAAGGCAGCCCCCUGGGAUAAUAUUGACGCUCAUGCACGAAAGCGUGGGGAGCAAACAGGAUUAGAUACCCUGGUAGUCCACGCCCUAAACGAUGUCUACUAGUUGUUGGUGGAGUAAAAUCCAUGAGUAACGCAGCUAACGCGUGAAGUAGACCGCCUGGGGAGUACGGUCGCAAGAUUAAAACCUUAAAGAUAGUACGGAGNGAGAGAGCGACGACGACGACGACGGAGGAGGAGG
rnacentral:rRNA from 1 species